GCCUGGGUGGCUCAGUCGGGUGAGCGUUCAAUUUUGGCUUGGGUCAUGAUCUCAUGGUUCGUGGGUUCGAGCCCCGCGUCGGGCU
rnacentral:tRNA from 1 species